AGUGAACGUUGGCGGCGUGCCUAAUACAUGCAAGUCGAACGAAGUGGCGCACGGGUGAGCAAUAUAUAGCUAAUCUGCCUUACACAGAGGAACAACAGUUGGAAACGACUGCGAAUACCUCAUAGUGUAGGAUGAGACUAUAUCGUAUCAGCUAGCUGGUAAGGUGAUGGCUUACCAAGGCUAUGACGCGUAGCUGGUCUGAGAGGAUGAUCAGUCAAAUUGGAACUGAUGCACGGUCCAAACUCCUACGGGAGGCAACGGUGAGGGAUGUUGCGCAAUGAGGGAAACCCUGACGCAGCAGCGCCGCGUGGAAGAUGACACUUUUCAGAGCGUAAACUCCUUUUAUCAGGAAAGCGGUACCUGAUGAAUGAGCACCGGCUAGCUCCGUGGCGGCAGCCGCGGUAAUUC
rnacentral:rRNA from 1 species